CCCUUAGAUGUUCUGGGCCGCACGCGCGCUACACUGACGAAGUCAGCGAGCAUGUCCUACGCCGACAGGUGCGGGGAAUCUUGUCAAACUUCGUCGUGAUGGGGAUUGAUUUUUGAAAUUCUUGAUCAUAAACGAGGAAUUCCUAGUAAGCGCAAGUCAGCAGCUUGCGUUGAUUACGUCCCUGCCCUUUGUACACACCGCCCGUCGCUACUACCGAUUGAAUGGUUUAGUGAGAUCUUCGGAUUGGCGCCGCUGCAGCUCAGCAAUGGGCUUGGUGGAUGCCGAAAAGUUGAUCAAACUUGAUCAUUUAGAGGAAGUAAAAGUCGUAACA
rnacentral:rRNA from 1 species